rnacentral:tRNA from 1 species
GGAGGGGUGGCAGAGCGGUUUAAUGCGGCGGUCUUGAAAACCGUUGCGGGCUUGCCCCGCCGGGGGUUCGAAUCCCUCCCCCUCCGCCA